rnacentral:rRNA from 1 species
CGCUGGCGGCGUGCCUAACACAUGCAAGUCGAGCGAGGAGAUUCCUCGGGAUGAUCCUAGCGGCGGACGGGUGAGUAACACGUGGGCAACCUGCCUCAUAGAGAGGAAUAGCCUUCCGAAAGGGAGAUUAAUACCUCAUAACAUUGCAGUUUCGCAUGGAACAGCAAUUAAAGGAGCAAUCCGCUAUGAGAUGGGCCCGCGGCGCAUUAGCUAGUUGGUGAGGUAACGGCUCACCAAGGCGACGAUGCGUAGCCGACCUGAGAGGGUGAUCGGCCACAUUGGGACUGAGACACGGCCCAGACUCCUACGGGAGGCAGCAGUGGGGAAUAUUGCACAAUGGGGGAAACCCUGAUGCAAGCAACGCCGCGUGAGUGAUGACGGCCUUCGGGUUGUAAAGCUCUGUCUUCAGGGACGAUAAUGACGGUACCUGAGGAGGAAGCCACGGCUAACUACGUGCCAGCCGCUGC